rnacentral:rRNA from 1 species
GGUCUCGGACAUCGGUCUGCCUCGAACGAGGUACGUACCAGUUGUCUGAAUCCAUCCUCGGGGAAAACGUAUCUGUCAUUCAGUUGAUGGGUACGGGAUCCUCGUCAUUUACUGUGAGCAAAAUAGAGUGUUCAAAGCAGGCUUAUGCCGUUGAAUACAUUAGCAUGGAAUAAUAAGAUAAGACCUUGGUCUAUUUUGUUGGUUUGUACUCCAAGGUA